UUGUCAAAGAAAGAAAAGACAAUAAAGGACUUCCUUGGGUCCAGAGGGGUGGAUAUUCCAGGAAGUGAUGCUGUCCAGGUGAUUAGUGGAAUCGCAAAAUUCUUCAAGGAGAAACCAGCCCAACUAUUUUGUCAAAAUGAGCUGCUGCAUCCAGAGAGUCCUGAUCUUGACCUGCCAAGCACCCCAUGCAUCUUUAUAAUGGGUGAACAGCUUUUUAAAGUUGCUGUUGACCAAAUGAUUGUGAAUGACCACAUCAAGUCACCCAUCGCUGCCCUAAGCUACGCCUUCUCCAUGUUUUAUGUCUUGAACAUAAAAUAUCCAAAAGACAUGUCCCUGACACUGGAAUUUAUACAAAGAGUCUUUCUGGGCUUAAACCCCAAACGAGGGUCAAAGGCUGAAAUGAAGGGGAAGAAGCAUCAUCACAUUCCACCCCGACUGCUCAAGUUUGUAAAUGAACUGUAUGACUUUGACAGUCCAUGGAAAAUUUGAUUCUUGUAAAAGGUGAUGCUUCAUAAUGUUCUCUGUUAUGUUGACAGCAGUUCAGAAAAUAGUAGUUGGAUGUUGGUCCUUGUUUACACCUGUGAUUUUAAUCUUGUAAUGCAAAUUGCAAGAUUAAAAUGGUAUUUUUUUAAUGUUAGUGUUGGAUUGUGUUAAUUAAAUUAAACUUAACAAAAUUAUUAAAUUGACUUCAAAGUCUGGACUCAAGAAUGAACUUUACA